rnacentral:rRNA from 1 species
UGCCAUCAGAGUCGAUUUAGCCAUGUUAGUCGAGGGUGCUUCUUCUUUGGAAGAUGUAACCCGGCGGACGGCUCAGUAACACGUGGAUAACUUGCCCUUGGGUCUGGGAUAACCCCUGAGAAAUUGGGGACAAUACCAGAUAGGGCAUCGAUAGCUGGAAUGCGCGAUGUCCAAAAGCUGAGGCGCCCAAGGAUAGGUCUGCGGCCGAUUAGGUUGUUGUUGAUGUAAUGGAUCAACAAGCCUGCAAUCGGUACGGGUUGUGAGAGCAAGAGCCCGGAGAUGGGUUCUGAGAAAAGAACCCAGGUCCUACGGGACGCAUCAGGCGCGAAAACUUUACAAUGUGCGAAAGCACGAUAAGGGAACUCUGAGUGCCUCCUAUGGAGGCUGUUCAGGUGUCUAAAAAGCACUUGAAGUAAGGGCUGGGUAAGACCGGUGCCAGCCGCCGCGGUAACACCGGCAGCCCAAGUGGUAGCCACGAUUAUUGGGUCUAAAGCGUCCGUAGCCGGCCAGGUAAGUUCUUUGGGAAAUUUAACCGCUCAACGGUUAAGCUUUCAGGGAAUACUGCUUGGCUUGGGACCGGGAGAGGUCAGAGGUACUUCAAGGGUAGGGGUGAAAUCCGUUAAUCCUUGAGGGACCACCAGUAGCGAAGGCGUCUGACCAGACCGGGUCCGACGGUGAGGGACGAAGGCUAGGGUCGCGAACCGGAUUAGAUACCCGGGUAGUCCUUAGCUGUAAACGAUGCGGGCCAGGUGUUGGCAUUACUGCNAGUGAUGUCAGUGCC